rnacentral:rRNA from 1 species
CUGCAGCCCGAGUGGUGAUCGAUUUUAUUGAGCCUAAAGCGUCCGUAGCCGGACUAGUAAACCCUUGGGUAAAUCGGGCAGCUUAACUGUCCAAAUUCCGAGGGGACUGCUAGUCUUGGGACCGGGAGAGGUCAGAGGUACUCAAGGGGUAGGGGCUAAAUCCUGUAAUCCUUUGGGGACCACCAGUGGCGAAGGCGUCUGACUAGAACGGAUCCGACGGUAAGGGACGAAACCCUGGGGCGCGAACCGGAUUAGAUACCCGAGUAGUCC